GUUGAUUUAAAUAUAUACAUCAAUUUGAAAAGAAAUGACAUCAUAAGUGUUGAGUCUCACCACGAGCAUGACACAUCUCUGUAUUUUUUUGUCUUCCUUUACGACUGUCAGUUUUCAUAUAGUUCCUGCAUAUCUAUUGUUAAACUCAUUUUUAGGGUACUUUACUUUCACAGUUGCUAGCAUGUGUGGGGGUCUUCCCCCUACUCUUUUAUUUUCCAAUUAUUGGUAGAGAGGAAGGGAAUUGAUUUGUGAAUGUUUAUUUUGUAUCCAUUCUCUUUAACUGAAUUCUUAUCAAUCCUAAGAAUUUUUCAUUUGAUUAUCUUAGGAAUAAAAUCACAUUAUGGACAAAUGACAAUUCUAUCUCCUUCCAUUUCCUUCCUCUAGUUGAACCUCUUUUUCAGCUGCUUUUUAUUGCAUUUGGCAGAGCAGAUCCUUUCUUAAAUAAACCUUUCGUUAGGGAAGACAUUUAGGACUCCACAGAAUAUUUAAAGAACAAAAGCAUGCAAGUGACAUAUCUCGAUUUCUGGGACACUGCCAAUGCAGUACUUAGAGGAGAUUUAUUGUUCCCAGUGCUUAUAUUAGGGAGGGGGAAAAAAGAGAAACUAUAAAUCAAGUCAAUACCUGAUGAACUUUGUUCCCUUUAAGUUACAAAGCAAGAGAAAAGAGAAAAAGGAAGUAAUAAAUUUAAACAAAAUGGAGGAAGAAGAGAGAACUGAUAAACAUAAUCAAUAGCACGUGGGAGGAAAUGGCCCUUCUGCUGAGUGGGGUAAAGUGGAGUGGGAGGGAGGAAGGGGCCCAGGUCCCACGAGGUAACUGGCUCCUCCUCCUCAUCAGAUGCCUGCGGGGUGGGUGGGCUUGGUCCAGGGGGUUCUCUUGACCUUGUGGGCACCCACUGGCCAUGGACUCCUGGCUGGUGUCUUGGUCCAACUAGUCCCUCGGAAGUACUUGGGGUGGGGUAGAGGAUGCUCAAAAUCAGGAAAGCCCCCAGCAGACCCCCAUAUCCAGGGAGAGGAGAGUGGUGAGGGUGCCCUGUCACGCAGCUCACACCUGUACUCUGCAAAUCCGUCUAGUCUUAUGCUUGCUGUGUCUUCCUUUCCCUCUGUCUUGCUUGUUUUCAGUAAAAAAAAAAAUUUAUGUUUCACCUGGGUAGAGAAAGGCUUUUGCUUGCUCUCAGGCCAGAUCAUCUGGGGAUCAGAUAUCCUGGGCUGGGUGCAGUCGGGGCACGGGUGACCAGUGUGGACGUAGAGCGGGGAGACUGGCUCUGCUGGGCUCACAAGUUCUUUUUGGGCUGGUUCUUUAGAGGAUUUAACAUUAUGUUUACUUGAAGGGAAAGUUCCCAUACUGUCAGUCUUAACAAAAUUAAUAAGCCAUUAGCCAAGUUCUAAAAAGGAGCAAAUGCAAAUUAAUAUACUCUGGAAAAAGGAAUGAACUAAUACAAAACAUCUUUUACAAGCAAAAUGAAGGGAUCAGAUUCUCAGCAGUCUGCCUGCAUGUUUUUGUAACAAAUGGAAAUUAAUAUCUUCCCAGGGGCUCAUCAUCUAUUCCCCCCAGCUCAAUGUAAUAUGCAGCAAUUUUUUUUUAAUGGAGAAGAAAAAGCUCCCAGCUGCUUUUUUGAACAAGCUGAGACAGACGGACAUUUUGGAGUAGAUCUGGGUCGGCGGAGAGCCGCUGGGUGGCUGCUCUGUUUUACGAUGGAGGUAGAGUGGGCUCUCAUUUUCCAGUUGCGGGGUCAGUGAAGAAUGGGCUCAGAAGGUGCUGGCCUCCCUGGCGUGCAAGGUUCUGGUACAAGCAAACCAAGGGCCUCCCGAGACCCCAGCCCCUUCUCCCUGAGAUCUGAAGUUAAGGAGAGCUGUAGUUUAGUGGGCUCUGGCCAGGUUGCCUGGCUGACAGGGCUGGGCUAUUCCCGGCACGGUGUGGGCUGAGCCUGGAAGUCCAGCCACCCUGCUGGUGUAGAGUUUUGGGGAGAAUCCCAAGCUUGUUGAAGAUGGCCUAAAAAACCCAAGGCCUUGGAUCCCUUGGGUCAGGAUCAGCAGGGGCAUCACUGCAGUGCCCACAGCAUCCUGUUGACUUUGGGACCAGUUUUCAGCAGUGACACUGGGUGGCAGCAUCAAAGGCAAAGAUGGCAGCUGACUCUCUGUGUCCAGUGUGCAGUGUGUGUUAUGGGGGCCUCAGGGUGGAUGUACUGAACCUCCUGCUAAUAGAAGCUUGUAGACAUGUAAUUAGAAAUUCAGAGAGACGUGACAGCAUUUGCAUGCUAAGCUGGUGAAGCGAAUCGUAUUGUUCCUCUCCAUGGACUUAGCACCAUAUAUUAAUUUUCAGUACUUUGCAAAAUCAAAUUAGUUUGGGCAGCUUUUAGAAAGGAAACAGGUGUUUACUACAAACACAUCUAAACUUCAAAUCUUUAGAACAGAACGGCAUUUUCUCUAAUGGUCAAAUAUAACUUCCAACUGGCUCCAUUUAAGGUAACGCUAGCGGCUGUAACAAACCUCAAAAUACAUAGGGCUCAAACAUCAUAGAAAAUCCAAAGUGAGUGUUGUGUUCAGCAGGCUGGCUCUCCUCCAAGCACUGACUCUUAGACCCAGGGUACUGCCACUUCAGCAUGUCACUUCCAGGGUCACCAUGCUUGUCCAUAUCAAGCUGCCUGAGGGGCGAAGAGCAUGGAGGACCACACAUGGGAACUUUUCAUGGGCCGGACCUGGGAGCAGUGCAUGUCACUUCUGCCCAUGUCCCAUGGACCAGAACUCAGUCACAGGGUCACUCCUCACUGCAAGGAGGCUGGACAGUGACAUCCAGUGAUGCCUGGAAGGAAGAGGACAUAACUUAGUGAACAGGUCACAGUUUGUGUCCCAGACAGCACAGUGAUUAUCACAAGAGACCCAGAGCACCCCUCACAAAAUUUGGACUGGAAAUGCCAAGUUCAAUGUAAAAAUGUCAAAGUCCUUGAACAUGUGUGUUGGAUGAAUGAGUAAAUGUGUCAUACAUUUCUCUUAUAGGGGGAUGAGUUUAUGAUUGUGAUCCUCGGGCCAAACUCACUAGCAGUACUGAAGCUUGCUACCACCUUCUGUCUUGACCGCUUUUUCAUCUUGGUGGUUCUGACACUUUGGGUCAAGGAGCAUGACAUAUUCCUUAAUGCUCAUGUCUGAACCAUUGUUCUGGGGAUGCUUCACAGCACCCUGAGUAUCAUCUGCCCAGGGACGUGCACACUCAUGCAGCUCUGGCUCUUCGAGGCAUCCGGGGCAUCGAAGGCUGAGCUCAGGGGAGACAUCAGUGCCUGUCACACACCCUGUAGGAACCGGGGAUUAUCCAGGAGCUCAUGUGUGAUAACUUCUGGGUUAGCAGAGGUGGGGAGAGAGAAAGAAAAGUGGGAAGGGUAAUGCUCUGGCAGUUCUCAGUGCUCCUGAAAUGUGGGCUAGGGAAGCCCUCUGUUUGACAGAGAAUAUUGUUGGGUCUGGGGUACCCUGUCUGGGGGAGAGUUAAAUGAUCUGUCUUUGUUUUUGUCAAAGGACUGGGGGAGUGGGUGUUCCCCUUUGAACAAGUUUCCCUGCUGCUCCUGAGAUUGACUGUGCAGUACAGUCCUCCCCUAUUUUGUCCAAAAUACAGCUGUUAAGUGUCAGAGGCAAGUUGCAAAUCCAGACAUGUUCAUGCCAAAAAGACUUAACCAUCAGCUUCUUAUUCUACAUUGGCCUUUCAAAGGUAGAUAUGGGAGAUACAGAAAGGUGGAAAGGAAUUCCUUGGCCAAGACUGAAAAAUGGCCAGAAAGGUAGAAAUAAGGAAGUGAUACUUUUUGAUUCCCUCCUUUAAUAGAUAGGUCUGCAAACCCCCUAUUAAGAAUAGUUAUCAAGCCCCUAAACAAACAAAAAACCUCACACAACAGGAUAAUGCAAGAAAAAAAGCCAAUAAAUCAUUAUCCAAAUUUUGGAAAAGUAGCGUGAAUUGCAUUUUGAAAAGUCAAGGGAAUGGAGUGAGGUCAUCUUAAAAUGGCAGAAGGCCCCUCAAAUUAGAGCCAGCUGUGCACAGGCUUCACACCUGGCUCCACACACGGGCCAGUCCACGUUAGAGACGAGUCAGAAACAGAAUCGAAAACCAUCCCGGGAACCCACAGGAAACACGAGUCCCUUGCCAGGUAGGAGCUGAAGUGGGAAUGCAAUGAUAUUAGCAGCCCUUUCAACUCUCCGUAGUGAAAUCCUCAAAGGUUUUAAAGCUUUCCACUCUUUCGUUUUAUUUUCUUAAUUUUAAAAACUGCCUUCUCCCAAUCUCUUUUCCUCCUUUGGUCUCAUGGUUACUUCCUGUUCCAGGCACCUGCAAAAUAGUCCCAGUUUCCUUUAAUUCAGACCCUGGAGUAUUUGUCCUAAGUUUCCAUGGCAACCUCUUUGAAGAAGGACUGUUUAUGGGAAUAUUAAAUUAUUUCAACCAAGACUAUCUGGGUUUGAAUCAUCAUUCUAAUUCUCAUCAGCCUAGUGAAUUAGGGUCCAUGCCUUGUUUUUCUCAUCUGUAAAAUGGGGAUAAGUAAUCACCUAAUAGGAUUGUUGUGAGGACUAAAUGAGAUGUUUUAUGUUAAUUAUUGGAGCAGUGCCUGGCACAUAGUAACUGCUUAAUAAAUAUUCGCUAUUUUUAUUGUGAAGUAGAAUAGAGGAGAGGAGUUGCAGGACAUUUUGUUGGAUGACAAACCCUAGCAAUUUUGGUCAUUCCAGAGAAAGGCACAGAGAGGAGGGCUAUGGGGCUGCCGGGUCUGGGACUCACAAACACCCCUAAUGCCAUCUCCCUGUGGGUCUGAAUUCCUCCAAACAUCAUGGCUCAGAGUGAAUCUACGAACUGUUGUCUUCCACCACUGCAAUUCCAUAGUUCACUGAUCUUUCAACCGUUUGUCAUUGGUACUUGUUUUAUGGCCAUCAGACAACUUCCCCUUUUAAACACCCCCUGAUCUCUUUUGGGGGAUUUGCCUUUAUCUCAUUGGGUGCAGGCUUUGGGGAGCUAUAGAUCAGGAAUUUUCUAACUUCCUUGCUGAAGAAAUCAAAGGGGUCUUCAGAGUCCAUCACAGAACUCUGACUGCCCAUGAAUUCUUGGGGCAUAGGACCUAUGCUCCAUCCAUCAGACUGUACUGGGACUCUGGACAGGUGGAGAGACACAGGACAGAAAAUAAAAGGGUUAUUGUCGGCUCACUGCAGGCAGAGCCCCACCCUAGUCCCUGCCGUUUCUUCUGCCUUCCAUGAGCCUUCUGAGUUACCCAGUAGGCUUCCUAUAUGCUAACUGGCCAGAGUCCCAGACUUUCUCUUGUUUGCGACCAAAGACUUCUAACUGACACUUAUUUGUUGAAUUCCAUUGAAAGCUGUUCAGUUUCACAGCUCUGACAGAUUAAAGGACAUGAAGACCACUAUUCAUUUCAAAAUAGCUCCCAAUUCAUGAGUUGGAACCCAGACGGAAGGUUGUACAGUAAUGAAAAAGUCACAGAACUUGUGGUUGUGUUCUGAUUCUUGUUCACCUGCUUAGAAUGCUUAAAAGUGAUCACUCAGGUUGCUCUCUCUCUAGAAACUUUCCAUGUACCAGAUAAUCCCAGUAAGGAAUCACCAGACCUGUCAGGCAGAGUGUGGAGAAGUGGCCUGUGGAACAGUUCUCCUGCCUCUGGUCUCUACCUCUUCCAAAAUAAUCAGGCUUGUGACAGAUGGAGCCAUCUGAGUCUUGAAGAUUCGUGAUGGCUGGAGCUGGAGGAGAUCUUGGGAACCAGCCUAAACAACCACCUUAGGUGGAAGAGGAGGGAAAUUGAAGGACUUGAGGACUGAAGGACUUGCUGAGUUGGAGUUGGAAUCCAGGACCCCAGACCUCCUUUAGCACUUCUUUUAUUACACCACAUGGACACUCAUGAACCAAGAGCUAAAGCUGUUGAAGAAGGUGGGCUGGUGAUGGCAGUAAUCAAAUCUAUUUCCAGUCUCUGACCCAUGCUCUUUGCAGGGAGAUGCUGAGUUGCCUCCCACUAGAGUGGGCAGAGUGUAAUUCUCUGCUCUGUGGCUGUUGGGUUUGGCUAUGUGACUUGCCUUGAGCAAUGGAAUAUGGGCAGAAGUCAGUUCUGAAGAGUAUCUGUGUUGCCACACUCACCUCUUGCACUUUCUGCUAUUUGUCAAGGAAAAAAAAAAAAAACAAAAACACUCCAGGUGGCCACUGGUCCCAGAAUGAGAGACAUGGAGGAGAACUAAGCACAACCCAGAGACUGAAGUCGAGCUGCUGCAACUGGCCUGCAGACCUGUGAAUGUGAACUAGAUGGUUGCUGCUCUAAGCCAUUGAGAUUUCUGAGUGUGUUUGUUACCCAGCAAGAUGCAGCAGGAACCUGCCUAAUACAGUGUUCUCAAACUGAAAGGAUGAGCAGUGUGAACAACAGAGUGCAUGGCUACAGACGGCCCACAGGCUGCUGCUGAGUAAACUUCCUAAAUCACUUCUCCUCCCAGGUCCUUUGUAACGAAGUCCAAUCUCCUUGGUUCAGGAGUGAAGAUUUUUCUCACCUGACUGCAACGAGUUCCUCAGUCUCAUCUUCUUUUCUCUGCCAACCUUCCAUUCCAGCCAUACCUAAACCACCUGCACAUUCCUACCUGAACCCCUCUACUCCAUCUAAUUAAAUCCCAGACCUCACAGAGACAACCAACUCCAUCCCAUUUGUCCCUCCUUCUUCUGAACACAGGUCAUCAGGGAGAACAGAUUGCUCAGUGAUGCUUCCACACUCUUCUUCACCCUGGUGCCCGCCCUGGUCCCUCCAUCCUUCUCUGUUAGAAGUUGUGUCUGGCAAAGCCCUACCUGCUCCUCACCCAGAUUCCUCUGUUUCGUAGUCCUAGCUGCCCUGUGUCACCCCCACCCCACCUCUGGGCACUCUCCCUGGUCCAUCCUCAUGUUAACAGGACCCAGGUGACUCCUGGGACAGAGGAGACGACGUUGAAAGCUGAGGGAAAAGGCCCUCAAAGGGGUGACUGUGACAAAGGGAAGAAGCCCAGCAGCCUGCAGGGGUUUGACAAGACCGACCUGGAUGCCAGGCUACACUUGCUAACUGAAACUGAGAGCUUGCUGGAGGAGGCCUGGGGAGGCCCUGACUUGACACCUGGUGGCGACUUAGAGCUCUUGAAGGCCCUUCUCCUCCUGGCAGGUGGGCAGCAAGAAGUCAAUGCCCAAGAAAGAGGGGGAGAGAGGACCUGCCUGAUCAUGGCAAAGAAAAGUAGCCCAAUGGUUCACUGAAAAUAUUUUACUGGAUGAAAUUUUUCCUGACUGGCAAGAGUGCUCUAGAAGUGGCUCCCCGGGAUCAUGGAGGAAGUCCUCUUGAGGCCAACACAGUUCCUGACUUUGCAUCAAAACCACCACCGGAAAACCUGAGCACGUGAAACAGAACACUGUCUCCAGUUCAGUUGGGAGAACCUGUAGCCCUUCAGGGCCCAAAGCCAGAGAAUAUGCCGGAGGAGAGUUUUAUUGCAGGAACCUAAAAUUAACCAGCUGGAAGUCUUUUAAAACAAUUAUCCUAUUCAUAUAUUUAAAAUAAAGUGCGCAUCUAUUAGCAGGCAGUCAGUGUUUCGUUGUGAAGAUGGAAGAUGGAACAGAGUGUUCUUGGCUACAUUAGUCCCAGAGUCUCAGGCUCCUCUUCACGACAUCUCAGCAUGUGGGGAAGACAUUUAUUGAGGUGAAUGUGUUUCAGGCCUGGCAGACUGGAGGCCCACAUACCUUCCCAGCAAGCAGCUGCCAGCCAGCUGAGUGGCACAGAGAAACCUUUCUGAAGUGAAGUCAUCAUCUCCUGACAGUCUACCAGAUGACUGGAGGGAGCAGGGAUGUUAGAGAGAGGAGGGGAGUUUUAGAAUGCUUGAUGAAUUUACCAAAAUCUCUUGAUAAGAGAUACUAAAAUACUUCAUAGAGCUACAAUAAUUAAAACAGUGUGAAAUGGUUGAAAAAGAGACUGUUCCAAUAGAUUCUUUUUUUCAGAAUAGACUAGGUUGCAUAGGAUGUCAGUAUAGAAUAAAGGGGAGACAAGGGGCUCAUUCCUUGAAAAGAUCAACAAAUGAUGAAAACUGCUGGCAAGUUUUACAGAGAAAAAGUCCACAUGAUUAGGAGUGAACAUGAAAACAACCCCUGAGGCAGCCCUGAUACCAAAACCUGACAAAACAAACUUUUACCAAAAUGGCAAAAAAUGACUAAAGAAGUCUUGAAUAAAGGAAGAGAUAUAUCCUCUUAAAGGGUGGAAAGUCUUUGUGGAUGUCAAUUCUACCCCAAAUUAAUAAAUAAAUUUAACACAAUUCCUAUCAA